GUUUCUUGUAAUUCUGUUCUAUUUCUCUAUUUUAGGGGAAAACACUUCUUUCCCACAUCAGAUGUUUCUUAAAGUAUGGAGGGGGUGCCACUAACAUAACACUCGAUACCUCAUUCCAGCGCUUCUAACAAGUUUCCUGAUGUGGCAUUCUGGGAACAACACCUACCCUUUACCAGUGGCCCCACGAGAUUCCACAAAAGAGCUGAAAUCAGUAUUGAAGUGGCCUUAUGAAGAUGGGAGCAGGACUACACUAACUGACUGCUGACUUCUUAGCCAAGGGGGAUAACCAUGUCCUAAGGUGAUCUCAGUGGGACCCACACUGUGGUUGUAAGUGGACAGGGUGGUGUUCAUGGAGUUGAUACAAACAACACAGGAUCUGGCAUCGGACAUCCUGCACAUAAAACCCGCCUUACCAUAUAUUAAUGGAGUGACUUGGUGAAGCUAUUUAACUUCCUUCAGCUUCAGUUUCUUCAUUUGUAAAAUAGGAAUGUAAAAAACCCAUCUUCCCCAGAGAUUGCACAUGAAGAUGAAGUGAGGUAAGGUUGAAAUCAUCAACCUUAAGGGUUGGGUGCUAGGAGCUUACAGUUAUGAUGUUUCUCCUCACUGGGGAAUUCACAUGUACAUCAAAGUGUGAGAACUUAUGGUCCAGGAUAUGUCUACUUUCUCAUCUGAGUCUCUGGAAUGUCCUAUAGGUUCUAUAACCAAGAAUAAAACCACAGUGCUUAUUUAAAGGGAGAAUAGGGGAAGUCUUUUGGGCCACUGAGGGGAUCAAAUCACUACAGGAAUUUUAAGUGGCCUUAGGCGUGGCCCUUGGAACUGCUCCUGAUUCCCUUCUUGAGCUGCCAUAAGCCACUGA
rnacentral:lncRNA from 1 species